GUUCACACCCGUUGUUGUAAUAAUGUUCAUAAACACAUUUGUACUGUAAAUAACUAUUAUUAUUAUAAGACAAAAUUGUAGUUUAUAAUUAUAUUUGAAUUUUUAUGGUCAUUAUGUCAAUACUAAUACUUUUUUCUUUUUUGUAUCAAACUUCUAGGGAAUAUUUAUCGGAAAUCUGAAUCCAAUUAUAUUUUCCUUCACCACCAUAAAGUUAAGAAAAUCUUAGAAAAUGGAAAGAAGAAACAAAUAUAUGAGCAUGAAUAGGAGUAGAAGAUAAAAUUUUAAGAUAUUAGUAGCAGCUGCUAAAUUAUUUUGAUUUUUGAAAUAGUUACUCGCUACGGUUAAAACUAUGUUGGAUGUACCUUCUUGCAAGAAUUUGAAGAUGGGAGGCAGUUGUGAAGCGAUGGUCUUACAAAAAAUAGAUCAUUUUUUUGGAAAUGUACAUUAAAACAGGGAAAAAAAGAUAUAGAGUUGAUAAUGGACGACACAAAAGUAGCAGUAACAGUAUUGUAGUCUGGUAUCACAGGAUAUUGCGACACCCUCAGCACUAUAAUUAUUUUAAUAGAUCAUUUGUGU